rnacentral:misc_RNA from 1 species
GUAAGAUUUAAAAUCAUUGUGGCUGCCUUCAAAGCCCAUGCAUCAGGAGUCUGGUACAAAGAAGCUGAAUCGCCAAAGCAUGAGGCAAGCAUGUCAGUGUUUAUAACUCCAGGAUUAAGGGCCACAAUUGCCAUUCCCUCUGGCAAUUCUUUUGCUACUGAUCUGGUUAAACCCUCAAUGGCCCAUUUUGAAGCACAAUAAGGU